UACGGGGGGGGGCAAGCGUUGUUCGGAAUUACUGGGCGUAAAGGGCUCGUAGGCGGCCAACUAAGUCAGACGUGAAAUCCCUCGGCUUAACCGGGGAACUGCGUCUGAUACUGGAUGGCUCGAGUUUGGGAGAGGGAUGCGGAAUUCCUGGUGUAGCAGUGAAAUGCGUAGAGAUCAGGAGGAACAUCAGUGGCGAAGGCGCUACUCUGGACUAAUACUGACGCUGAGGAGCGAAGGCGUGGGGAGCAAACAGG
rnacentral:rRNA from 1 species